rnacentral:lncRNA from 1 species
AUGCCCAAUAGCCAGGCCAUCGUGGACCUGGUGAGGGCGUUUGUGGAGGAGCCGGUCUCGUACGCCAUGUUCAGGGGCCGUCAGCUCAAGCCACGUGUCUUGAAGGGCUGCAGAAAGGAACUGUGGAGUUUCUGCUCUUGGCUGAUGCGGUCGUGCGGUAUUAAACGGGAGUACGAGAGAACGGUCUUCAUCUCAAACAUCAACAGUGACUUGGCUGAAUUCAGGAAGAAACUGGAGAAGUUUGGAUUGAUCACAAACUACGUGCCGCUGCUCAAUCAGGUGUUUGUGGAGUACGAGUCGAACGCAGACGCCGACAGACUCGGAGUUUACCACAGUCUUUUGAACAAACCGCCUUCAUACACACUGACCCGGAUGGGUUUCCCGACGAAGGCCAAACACAGCCCUCACCCGCCCUCCGUGUUCACAGCGAUGCCCGACGCCGCAGACAGAGCUCCCGGAGUGACCGUUCCGCAGAUGAGCAGCGGGAUCCCCCCCUACAGCCGGGGUCCGUUCUGCGUCACCAUGAGCACCAGAUCCUUCGUGUUCCCCACAGAAUCCCCCUGGUUCCACAUCCCAGAUUUCGAGACGGUGCCGAUGAGGAAGGACUCGUUGGAGCGCUUUCAUGCAGUUGAUAAAACAGCCAUCAUGUUGACAAAUCUAAAAUUCCAAGUCUUCACUCACGAGUCUUUGACCCCCAUGGUGUGGCCCUGGUUAAAGGGCAGAAAUCUGCACUGCUUCUACUACGACUUCAUCAUCCUGCCACUGCAGAGAAGAGCAUUUGUCAACUUCUACUCGACAGAGAAAUGUGCACAGUUCGCUGAGAUGUUCUUCUCUCAGCAAACUGUGCACAAGAAGACGCAUUUCCUCCAGCCGCACUACAUCGAUGACAAACUGUUUUCUGUGUCGACUGAGGCAAGUUUCGCUGACAUUUGUAUCUUCUAUUGAGGAGAAUAAAAGAAGCUAAAACACAGUUUUGGGUUCUAGUAUAAACUAGGGGUUCCCAAAGGCUGAGGCCUCCUCACCUGCUGCUUUCCAGAGUCAGGACUAAACACGAUGCUGCUUUUCUGCAGCUAAAAUCUGAAACCGUAUCAAGAAGAUGUGAAACAGCCCACAACACUGACAAUGUUCAAAUCCUGAAAACUGAAAACUGUGUUUAAAGCUACUCUAAGCGACCGGCAUUGUUGCAUUCCCACAUUGCACCACUAGAUGCACCACACUUGCCAACAGCAGCGGACUUUGUGCCACCGAAGGAGACCGGCGCCACACCUCCCUCAUCUCACAGCACACCCCCAACACACCACUCACCCCCACACACCCCUAACAACACGGGGGGGGGGGGAACAGGGUUCACUACUCCACCUACUGAGGAAAAAAAUUCAAAAAGACAUCACAUAGGGCAGCUGUAAGCCGGCUGUACACUGCACGAUUUUGGCCGUCUGUGAUGAACAAUCACUCGUCACGGGGAAAAUCGCAGCUCGUACUGUGAGACGGGGACAAAGAUUUAAAAUAGAGCCGCUGUACGACCAAGACGAGCUGUGACCGACAUCAGGCAGUGUCUGAUAUUUUGUAACACUAGUCUAAGAGUGAGCCUCCUCUCUGUCAGUGUCCCCUUAAAGAGUACCUAAACGGGCGUGCCAAAGCCUUUCCCCACCCACAAACAAAAGUCAAAAAUUGCUGUGAAAGAGGCGGUCUCUGAAGUUUGGGGGUGACAUGCGGGGGGUGAGUGUGUGGGCCUUUGCAUUGGCACAAUCACAGCAGACUGAUUACGUGGGAGGGGCUUGGUUAUAAAUGGGCAGGACCUGAUGACGAUGUGUGGAGCUGGUGCGGCUCAUGACGUUCUGUGGAGGCCGUGGACACGUCUCUAGCCAAUCAGGAAAUUCUAAUUUAGUAGCAGAGUUUACCCUGAAGGGGGCGCAACCCAUUCGUUUUCAGGCCAAAGUUAGGAUUUUACACAUGUUUGCGCUAUAAUGUCAGAAUAAUGUCAGGGACCAGUGGACAACACUAUGAGACGCCCAUUGAGACAGUUUAUCAGUGAAACAAACUUGAUUGAAGAGGCAGCAGAGGUGGAUCAAAAGAUCCACCUCUGCUGCACUGAUACAUUUUACUGAAGAAGUCCUCGCUGCUAUUGACCACUCAAAGUACAUGGUGAGCGUCUUUCUGGAUUUAAAGAAAGCAUUCGACUCAGUGAACCAUGAACUUCUGUUGUCUAAGUUGCAGGACUAUGGCAUAAGAGGACAUGUGUUUAAAUGGCUGGAAAGCUACCUGCAAAACAGACUGUGACUGUGGUAUGUGGAAUCCCACAGGGUUCCAUAAUCGGCCCAAAACUUUUUAUUUUAUUCAUAAAUGACAUCUACGAAGCAACAAAGAGAAUGGGCUUUCUAUUGUUUGCAGAUGACACAACCGUUUAUAAAUCAGGAAGUGACCUCGAUACAUUAUUAUCUUGUGUAAGCACUGAAAUGGCAAAUUUAAAAAAAUGGUUCGACCAAAACAAAUUAUUAUUAAAUUGGGAAAAAAACAAAUAUAUGAUUUUUGGGACAAGGACAAUUGAGGGGAAUAUUAACAUCACUAUUGACAAUUCAAGGAUUGAAAGAGUUACCAAGAUUAAAUUUCUGGGAGUUAUGUUGGAUACUAAAUUCAGCUGGAAGCCACAUAUUGAAUAUAUUCGAACAAAAGUGAGUAAAUGUAUACUGUAGGUAUUUUGCAUAAAG